CUACAUGAAGUCGGAAUUGCUAGUAAUCGCGGAUCAGCAUGCCGCGGUGAAUACGUUCCCGGGCCUUGUACACACCGCCCGUCACACCAUGGGAGUCGGUAACACCCGAAGCCUGUAGUCUAACCGCAAGGGGGACGCAGUCGAAGGUGGGAUUGAUGACUGGGGUGAAGUCGUAACAAGGUAGC
rnacentral:rRNA from 1 species